CUUCAACGGCCCAGGCUGGGAUGUUUUCACCCUGUGUCACUCUCUGGGGCCUCCCGCCAGCCCUUUUCCGGUUCUUUCUCUGUCCUGCCUCCCCGGACCCCUCGCUGCCCGGUCAAGUGGUUAGUUGUGCGUUUGCCUGGUACUGCGGUGUGAAAGUCAAGGCAUCAGCUGGAGAGACGACACCUCAAAACCCACGGAGCAGCCCCCACGCCCCUCACCCCCAGGGCAGCCACACGCAGUGACAUGCAACUCCCAGUGUCUUUGGGUUUAUUUAGCAAGAGGGAGUACUACAUCACCAUGGUGAAGUGGGCCACCAGCACCAAGGUCGCCGUGACCUGGCUGAACCGGGCGCAGAACGUGUCCAUCCUCACCCUCUGCGACGCCACCACGGGGGUCUGCACAAAGAAACACGAGGAUGAAAGUGAGGCCUGGCUCCACAGACAGAAUGAAGAACCUGUGUUCUCCAAGGAUGGCCGAAAGUUUUUCUUCAUCAGAGCCAUCCCCCAGGGAGGACGAGGGAAAUUCUAUCACAU
rnacentral:sRNA from 1 species